ACCUAGGUGGCUCAGAUGGUAAAGCGUCUGCCUGCAAUGCAGGAGACCUGGGUUCAACCCCUGGGUA
rnacentral:tRNA from 1 species